GUCGUAACAAGGUUUCCGUAGGUGAACCUGCGGAAGGAUCAUUACCACACCGAUCCAACGAUCAACACCCCUGUGAAGUUGUGUGUCGUUUUCUCUUUCCUCUUCAACGGAAGCCCUUCUUUCUGCUGUGAUGCUUUUGUCGUCGUCUCGGAGGGAGGGGCUUUUUUGAAGAACACAAAACACAAACCACUUUUUUGAACCAUGAUAAUCUGAAACCGAAAGUUUGUACUGCGUGUUUUGCACACCAUACAAAUGUAUCAAUGUAAAAACAUGAAACAACUUUCAGCGAUGGAUAUCUUGGCUCUC
rnacentral:misc_RNA from 1 species